GAGUUUGAUCUUGACUCAGAUUGAACGCUGGCGGCAUGCCUUACACAUGCAAGUCGAACGGCAGCACGGGAGCUUGCUCCUGGUGGCGAGUGGCGAACGGGUGAGUAAUGCAUCGGAACGUAUCCUGGAGUGGGGGAUAACGUAGCGAAAGUUACGCUAAUACCGCAUAUUCUGUGAGCAGGAAAGCGGGGGACCUUCGGGCCUCGCGCUCUUGGAGCGGCCGAUGUCGGAUUAGCUAGUUGGUGAGGUAAAGGCUCACCAAGGCGACGAUCCGUAGCAGGUCUGAGAGGAUGAUCUGCCACACUGGAACUGAGACACGGUCCAGACUCCUACGGGAGGCAGCAGUGGGGAAUUUUGGACAAUGGGGGCAACCCUGAUCCAGCCAUGCCGCGUGAGUGAAGAAGGCCU
rnacentral:rRNA from 1 species